GUGUUGUGUGAAAGGAGAAGGUUGGCACUCCCCUUGACAAGGAUGGAAGAGGCCUGACAAUAUGCAUAUGGCUAAGGCACUGCCACCUCCUAUGUGACAUCAACCACUGUUUUUA
rnacentral:ncRNA from 1 species